GACGAACGCUGGCGGCGUGCUUAACACAUGCAAGUCGUACGGUAAGGCCCUUUCGGGGGUACACGAGUGGCGAACGGGUGCGUAACACGUGAGUAACCUGCCCACAACUUUGGGAUAACGCUAGGAAACUGGUGCUAAUACUGGUUAUGUGCUCCUGCUGCUUGGUGGGGGUUGGAAAGCUCCGGCGGUUGUGGAUGGACUCGCGGCCUAUCAGCUUGUUGGUGGGGUAGUGGCCUACCAAGGCGGCGACGGGUAGCCGGCCUGAGAGGGUGACCGGCGAAAUUGGGACUGAGAUACGGCCCAGAGUCCUACGGGAGGCAGCAGGGGGGAAUAUUGCACAAUGGGCGCAAGCCUGAUGCAGCAACGCCGCGUGCGGGAUGACGGCCUUCGGGUUGUAAAACGCUUUCAGCAGGGACGAAGCUUUUUGUGACGGUACCUGCAGAAGAAGCACCGGCUAACUACGUG
rnacentral:rRNA from 1 species